CUGACAAGCCCGGGGAGGACAUGACGUAGGAGGAGUGUAGGGGUCUGUGUGAGGAGGCAGAAGGGAAGUGGAAGGCACUGUCUUUGACAGUGCUGAAGAACUGGAAGAAUUCUCCAUCAACUGGCUCGAGAUCUAUACGCUGCUGGAACAUGUCAAUCGGCGUCACAAGAUAUAAUUUUGGAAUACUUAAAGCAAAGGAUGACAGAAUGGGUGAAAGAGAGAGGUGUUCAUAUGCCUGUCGACUGUGAACGUCACAGCAAUGUGGGACAGGAACAGCCAACACCCCGGAUACCAAUUACGUCGCGUUUAGAGCAUUGCUCUCUCUUCCGAGGCGGUCGUGGGGAUGGCACAGGUGCUGUGGUGUGCCUGCGUGGGGUUGACGCUCGCCUGGCACCCUGCUGCUAUCAACGACCCUGCCCGCUCUCCGACACUUGCCAAACAUGCAUGUCGUACAUGGUACUGUGGUAUUGUUUCAUUGCAGAAAGAACAGCACUUAAUAUUUUUAUUUAAUU